rnacentral:lncRNA from 1 species
CUCAGCGCAGUUUAUUGUCGCACGGGCACCCGCAGCCGCCGCCGCCGCCGCCCCCCGCACCCGGGCGGUGCCCAGCAGCGGGCGGGGGGGAGCAGCGAGGGAGCGCGAACCGGCGGGUGGGAGACCCCAGCUCCACCCCCGGCCCCGCGCUCCAGCUCCCCGCAGGAGCCCGGCCAAAGCCCCCUCCUCAUGCCGGGUCCAUCCAGCAGCCGGACCCCGUGCCGUGAGGAGCCCGCACCGCAGCCCCCGCACCGCAGCCCUUGGUAAGGGCCCCGCCAUGGCCCCUCACACGGGAAGGGGGUUCCCUUCUGCCCACCAAGCACCGGGGCUCAUGCUGGCUGCCCCCCAGCCAGCCCCACCGUGGCCCCCCACGCCGGCCCUCGCACGGGAAGGGGUCCCCGGUUGCCCGUGGAGCGCGGGGGCUCAUGCUGGCUGCCCCCCACACUGGGCACGGAGAGGGGGCUGGGUGGGGGGCACCCUCCCGUGCAGCUUAGCAAACCCCCAAGUCUUGGUGGAAGGAAAGAUUCGGGGGGGAUCGUAACAGCUGGGGAAAGGGCGACAGUUCACAUGUCCAGAGGGUUCAGAGGAAGGGGUUGAGCCCCCCGGGCGCGGACGGCGGGGCCGGGGGGCCGCUCAGCGGCAGUAAAGGCUGCGGCAAGGUGCUGGGGAGUUCGGGGAAGGCGCCAGCCUGCGGGAAGGCACUGGCGGAGGCGGGGAGGGCAGCGGUGGCGGCGGGGACGCUGCUGAGGGGCAGCGGCAGGGACGCGCUGUAGGUCAUGGAGUUGGCGGGGUGGCCGGCGGGCAGGCCGGGCACCGGCGAGCUGGUCCGCAUCUGGUUCAGUGUCGGCUUGGGCUGCUCGGACAGGCUGAAGGGGUUGGUGGGGGACGGCGUGCUCAGACCUGGCAAGGAGGAAACGGGACACGUCAGGGCAGCCAGGCCACCCUCAGCCCUCCUCUUCUUCCUCCCCCGCCCACCACCAGCCCAGCCCAGGGGCCAGCAGCCCUGCGGCACCUACCCGAGAGGAAAGGGUUGCGGGUCUUGGAGGCUGGAGUAGGUGCGACCAGGGAGUCCAGGUUAACCAGGGAGGAGGCGGCGGGGCCCAGAAAGGCCUCGGGGGUUUUACAGUCCUUGCGCUCCUUGCCGGAUUCAGGCAGGGAGUCAGCCAGGUUGGCGAGGUCGAAGCUCUUGGCCCCGUCCUGCCUGGUGCUGGGGAACAGGUCGCCAAAGGGGCGCUCUGCAGAGGAGGGAGGGGUGAGACACAUGAGCCAGCUGGGAGACACCGAAGGUCACAGCAUGGUCCCUUGUCAACACAUGGGGCGGCACAUCUCACCCCAGGACACCGAGUGAC